CCUACGGGUGGCUGCAGUGAGGAAUAUUGGUCAAUGGGCGCGAGCCUGAACCAGCCAAGUAGCGUGAAGGAUGACUGCCCUACGGGUUGUAAACUUCUUUUAUAUGGGAAUAAAACAGGGUAUGCAUACCCUCUUGUAUGUACCAUAUGAAUAAGGAUCGGCUAACUCCGUGCCAGCAGCCGCGGUAAUACGGAGGAUCCGAGCGUUAUCCGGAUUUAUUGGGUUUAAAGGGAGCGUAGGUGGAUUGUUAAGUCAGUUGUGAAAGUUUGCGGCUCAACCGUAAAAUUGCAGUUGAAACUGGCAGUCUUGAGUACAGUAGAGGUGGGCGGAAUUCGUGGUGUAGCGGUGAAAUGCUUAGAUAUCACGAAGAACUCCGAUUGCGAAGGCAGCUUACUAAACUGCCACUGACAUUGAUGCUCGAAAGUGUGGGUAUCAAACAGGAUUAGAUACCCUAGUAGUC
rnacentral:rRNA from 1 species